rnacentral:sRNA from 1 species
ACAAGUUUCCUAAUCAAGCAGCUGAGAGGGUGACUCCUUGUCAGAAGAGGAGGAUCCUGUGCAAGCACUGAGUUCUCUGGAACAUUAAAGGCGAGCCAUCGUUGAUUGGCCUCAACUCUUGUGAAGGGUCUCAUUCGCAUGAAAAUAUGCUACAACCUCUGAGCUUGUCUCUGCCGACACUCACAAAAGUAAAAGAUGUCACACAGAACACCCAAGUCCAUCAUCUUCCAUCUCAGGGACCAACGGUAAUGGCUUCAGCGGCAUCACCGUGCCCAUUGAAAGGAUGGAAAUGACAACCGAGAGCCGCAAUGUGGCCAGGCUGCAGGGGCCAGACCGAGGUUGCAUGGGCAGGGUUUCUGUUGCUGGGAUGAAGCGCCAUGACCAAAAAUAAACCAACUCAGGGAGGAAAUUGGUUAUUUGGCUUACACUUCAAAGUCACUGUUGACCAUCAAAGGAGUCAGGAUGGGAACAUAAACAAGUACAACGAAUGGAUACAACUGAGAGGCAUCAUAUGAAGAAAAGCAACUCAAACUCAACAAACAUCGCAUCCUCUCUGGUCUGUGGAUCUUACAUUUAUACAGAGACAUAAGCUCAUCAUGAGUACCUGACCUGACGUAGACAUGAACGUGUCCAGAAAGACAAAGAGGAUUAACGGGAGGCAGGAAAGAAGUCAGGGGUAGAGUGGCGUGGUCAAAGUGUAAGAUAUAUUUCUAUAAACGCAUCCUUAUGAAACUCACUGCCAUGGACAAUGAAUGCAUGCCAAUAAAAACAAAAUAACAACAAUAAAAAUAAAAUCGUUUCCCUCCGAGAGCUCUGCCUGUCUGACAGAUCCGUCAGUCUCUCUGCCACCGAACACUGA